rnacentral:rRNA from 1 species
UUAUUUAGAAAUAUAAAUAUUAGAGUAGUAAUAGUUAUGGUCUUGAAACUCAAAAAAUUUGGCGGUAUUUUAGUCUAUUCAGAGGAACCUGUAAUAUAAUCGAUAAUCCACGAUGGAUCUUACUUAAUUUUGUAAUUUAAUUUGUAUAUCGCCGUUAUUUGAAAAUUUUAUAAGAAAAAUAAUUUUCUAAGAUUUUUAUUAAAAAAUAAAUCAGGUCAAGGUGCAGUUUAUGAUUAAGUUUUAUAUGGGUUACAAUAAAUUUAUUUACACGGAUUAAAAAAUGAAAUAUUUUUAAGAAGGUGGAUUUGAUAGUAAAUUUUUAAAGAUAAAAAAAUUGAUU